ensembl:lncRNA
GCUUCUCUUCUGGUAAGGUGUUCCGCUAUGUUUUCAUUACAUGUACUGUAGUUGUUCUGUGUUUUAUUUCGCUUUCUUCUACAAAGGGGACCUACGUUAUAUACAUAUAUCCCCUUUUUCUUUCUUAGUAUGCAUUUUAAGGUUUAUUUGAGGUCACAGGCCUUUAGUAAACACACCUCUGCGUGUUUCUGUUCCUGUGGCCCACGAGCCCCUGAUGUGUAUCUGAAACCAUCAUGGCUUACCUUUUGCGAAUAUUUGAAACUUCACCAUUAUUAUCAAAGCUGACUUGUUACUACGAUAGAAUUAAGUCAUAUUUACUACUGGUUUGGUUUUUUUUUUUUUUUUAAUGCUUUGGCGAGAUCUCUCAAUGAUGAUAACUCACAGACCUGUACUGAAAUACUGUGAUUGCACUUUAUUUAUCUGAGGAGAGACCGACGUGAAUUUAUUACAUUUUUUUACGAUAAGAGUGUUCUGGAAGCUUCAGAUGCAAACACGUGUUUUAACUAGAGGUUUUUCUUUUGCAGCAAUGGCGACUGCGACGAGCAUGGCCUCAUGGGAAGUUUCCAUGCAGGCUGCUGGGAUGAGCAGGCGGAAAUCUAUUAAAUUUAAGGGCUCCUUCACGUGAUCUUGGAGGGCAUGGUGACCAUAGAUGUUGUAUUGAUCAUCCCACUUUGUCUUGGUGAUGAUGGUGUGGCUAUAAAGAUGUUCAUUGUUGGAACAAAAUGGCUUUUUCAGCAAGAACCUGCAACUCCCUAAGGACUGUUAUUUGUCCAAAACAAAGUGGGUCAAGUCCUUUGCUGGUAUUAGGUUGCGUACCUGAAGUACUCUCAGCAGGUGGCACAUCUGAGAUGAGACAUUCACAGGACUACAGUGGAUUCUUGAAGUCCUUCCCCCUUGAGCAUACUAUAACAGACUGCAGUGAAUUUUCCCUCAGAGUUCUUUACCCCUUGAGCGUACUGAAGCUGGUGUUGCUACUGUCCAUCCAGGUUGUCCCAGUGUCACUUGAUUGCUGGUGUUCUGUUGACUUUUAAAGGUUUGUAUUUUGUAUCAGCUUUUGAAAGUUUAGUUUUACUUUUUAAUGAUGACAUUUAUCGCCCCAGUCUGAUGUGUUAUGACUGAUUGAUGAUUCUGAUAAAUCUAGAAAUAUUUAAAGGUGCUGAUUUAAGAGACUUUUACUGACACUCUUUAUCUCCCCCAGGUCACGUAAACUGCAUCAGAAGUUGAACUGGCUGACACACUGAUCUGUGUCCUUGUACAUCUGCUUAACUGGAGUGUUGGCUGAAUGGUGUUAUUGACUGACGAUAUAAAUGGAAUGUGUUUCCUUUGUAUUCUUUAUUCAAAAGCUGCUUGCAAAAUAAAUGGCUUUACUGAA